AACGAACGCUGGCGGCGUGUUUAAGACAUGCAAGUCGCACGGUAUCAUUUGUGUAGUAAUACUCAGAUGGUUCAGUGGCGCACGGGUGAGUAACAUGUGAAUUACAUGCCCUAUAGUGGGGAAUAGCCCAGGGAAAAUUGGAUUAAUACCCCAUGGUCUAGCAAGAGUAAAGGUGGCAGCAAGGCUGUCGCUAGAGGAUGGGUUCCCACCCUAUCAGCUUGUUGGCGGGGUAAUGGCACACCAAGGCUACGACGGGUACCUGGUCUGAGAGGACGAUCAGGCACACUGGAACUGAGACACGGUCCAGACACCUACGGGUGGCAGCAGUCGAGAAUAAUUCACAAUGGGGGCAACCCUGAUGGUGCAACGCCGCGUGGAGGAUGACGGUCUUCGGAUUGUAAACUCCUGUCAUCCGGGAGUAAGACCUGGCUGUGAAUAGCAGACAGGGUUGAUAGUACCGGAAGAGGAAGGGACGGCUAACUUCGUGCCAGCCGCCGCUGUAAAAC
rnacentral:rRNA from 1 species